rnacentral:rRNA from 1 species
AAGUCGUCUCCGCACAGAUGCUGCUCCACUCCAAGUCCAUUCAUGAGUACCCGUAUAUAGACUUGGCCCAAAAAAGGUGAAAGGCCCCUGGGGGUGGAGUUUCAAGCAUGUCAGUGUCUCUCUGGAUAGACCUUGAGUCGGUUGUUUGUGAAUCCAGCCAAAUGGGUGGUAAACUCCAUCAAGGCUAAAUACUUGCACGAGUCCGAUAGCGAACAAGUACCGUGAGGAAAAAUGAAAAAGUACUUGAAGAGAGAGUAAACAGUGCGUGAACCGUUCAGAGGUAACAGGUGAGUUGAACUGCGAACUUGAGAAUUCAGCCGGUGAAUAUGGUUUGAGCUUGGUCAAAUUGGCUGAUGUUGUGGGGUCUGCAGAGACGCAGUUCUCGCCUUCGGGUGGGGAUGCGCGAUACGCUUAUCAAGUGUGCGCGCCUCAUGGCAUUUCGAGUCUAUUUGCCGGUGCAUUUUCUCCGAGUGUUCACCACGACCGGCACUGCUGCCUGACUGUUAUGGUUAAACCGGUUUUGCUUUGUCCUUGUGGCUUUGCUUGAUCGGGAUGGCAGGUAGCCUGUUAGGCUUGCCUUCGGGCUCGUCUCUCGGGUGUAAUCAGCUGACUAUAAUGGUUCUGUGCGGUGUGUCGAAGACGGCGGCUUUUGGUGUGAGCGCGCGUGCCUUGUCUGCUGACUUGGUUGGGUUUGGUUGCUAUGUUGCUUG